GUAUGUCCCGAGCGUUAUCCGGAUUUAUUGGGCGUAAAGCGAGCGCAGACGGUUGAUUAAGUCUGAUGUGAAAGCCCGGAGCUCAACUCCGGAAAGGCAUUGGAAACUGGUCAACUUGAGUGCAGUAGAGGUAAGUGGAACUCCAUGUGUAGCGGUGGAAUGCGUAGAUAUAUGGAAGAACACCAGCGGCGAAGGCGGCUUACUGGACUGUAACUGACGUUGAGGCUCGAAAGUGUGGGUAGCAAACAGGAUUAGAUACCCUGGUAGUCCACACCGUAAACGAUGAACACUAGGUGUUAGGAGGUUUCCGCCUCUUAGUGCCGAAGCUAACGCAUUAAGUGUUCCGCCUGGGGAGUACGACCGCAAGGUUG
rnacentral:rRNA from 1 species